rnacentral:lncRNA from 1 species
GUGUAGCUUUGUGAUACCUAUCUCUCUAACAAAAGCCAAAGGAAAGUAAAUGGAGAGCUCUGUGGCAUAUUCUUGUCCUCAGAGUUUAUUUCAGAGCCUGUGAUGAAAACCACUGAUGUGUAAGACCUUGGUCUUUCCUGUGUAUAGUUUCAGAUGAAAGAGAUGAAGAAGUGAUUUCCUCCAGUCUGCAAACCAAAUGGGUCCCAGGCUCUUCAUGUGUAAAAAUGAUCCACUGAAAUUGUGGCUGCUGCCAUCUUUAAUAUAAUUGUUGGAUGGCUGAACCGUGCAGGUAUCAGCUGUGUGCUGUUUUGUAUUGGCCAGCAGUGCACCUGUAGAAAGCUGAUGAUCAUCAUUGUGAGUAACUUUAAGGUGAGCAAAACAUCCUAUUUAGUCUCAAAUAUAUUUUCAGUAAGAGCUGGGUAGUUGUAAGGAAUGAAUUCCUUCUCGUGCACUACUUCUGUCUCCACAAAGCAGUUCCUGGGCCUUUGCAGGCUUUCUGAUCAGACUGAC